rnacentral:rRNA from 1 species
AUUGAACGCUGGCGGCAUGCUUUACACAUGCAAGUCGAACGGCAGCGCGGGCUUCGGCCUGGCGGCGAGUGGCGAACGGGUGAGUAAUGCAUCGGAACGUGCCCAGUAGUGGGGGAUAGCCCGGCGAAAGCCGGAUUAAUACCGCAUACGACCUGAGGGUGAAAGCGGGGGGACCGAAAGGCCUCGCGCUAUUGGAGCGGCCGAUGUCGGAUUAGCUAGUUGGUGGGGUAAAGGCUUACCAAGGCGACGAUCCGUAGCUGGUCUGAGAGGACGACCAGCCACACUGGGACUGAGACACGGCCCAGACUCCUACGGGAGGCAGCAGUGGGGAAUGUUGGACAAUGGGGGCAACCCUGAUCCAGCCAUGCCGCGUGCGGGAAGAAGGCCUUCGGGUUGUAAACCGCUUUUGUUCGGGAAGAAAUCCUCUGGGCUAAUACCCCGGGGGGAUGACGGUACCGGAAGAAUAAGCACCGGCUAACUACGUG